rnacentral:rRNA from 1 species
GAUGAACGCUGGCGGCGUGCCUAAUACAUGCAAGUCGAGCGAACAGACGAGGAGCUUGCUCCUCUGACGUUAGCGGCGGACGGGUGAGUAACACGUGGAUAACCUACCUAUAAGACUGGGAUAACUUCGGGAAACCGGAGCUAAUACCGGAUAAUAUAUUGAACCGCAUGGUUCAAUAGUGAAAGACGGUUUUGCUGUCACUUAUAGAUGGAUCCGCGCCGCAUUAGCUAGUUGGUAAGGUAACGGCUUACCAAGGCAACGAUGCGUAGCCGACCUGAGAGGGUGGUCGGCCACACUGGAACUGAGGCACGGUCCAGACUCCUACGGGAGGCAGCAGUAGGGAAUCUUCCGCAAUGGGCGAAAGCCUGACGGUGCAACGCCGCGUAAGUGAUGAAGGUCUUCGGAUCGUAAAACUCUGUUAUUAGUGAAGAACAAAUGUGUAAGUACCUAUGCACGUCUUGACGGUACCUAAUCAGAAAGCCCCGGCUAACUACGUG